GCAAGUCCCGAUAACACGGUAGGUAUAAGUAAUUAAGUUGAGAUUGAGAAAGUUAAGUCCUGCAAGUCCCGAUAACACGGUAGGUAUAAGUAAUUAAGUUGAGAUUGAGAAAGUUAAGUCCUGCAAGUCCCGAUAACACGGUAGGUAUAAGUAAUUAAGUUGAGAUUGAGAAAGUUAAGUCCUGCAAGUCCCGAUAACACGGUAGGUAUAAGUAAUUAAGUUGAGAUUGAGAAAGUUAAGUCCUGCAAGUCCCGAUAACACGGUAGGUAUAAGUAAUUAAGUUGAGAUUGAGAAAGUUAAGUCCUGCAAGUCCCGAUAACACGGUAGGUAUAAGUAAUUAAGUUGAGAUUGAGAAAGUUAAGUCCUGCAAGUCCCGAUAACACGGUAGGUAUAAGUAAUUAAGUUGAGAUUGAGAAAGUUAAGUCCUGCAAGUCCCGAUAACACGGUAGGUAUAAGUAAUUAAGUUGAGAUUGAGAAAGUUAAGUCCUGCAAGUCCCGAUAACACGGUAGGUAUAAGUAAUUGAGUUGAGAUUGAGAAAGUUAAGUCCUGCAAGUCCCGAUAACACGGUAGGUAUAAGUAAUUAAGUUGAGAUUGAGAAAGUUAAGUCCUGCAAGUCCCGAUAACACGGUAGGUAUAAGUAAUUAAGUUGAGAUUGAGAAAGUUAAGU